rnacentral:misc_RNA from 1 species
UUAAGUUCAGCGGGUAGUCCUACCUGAUUUGAGGUCAAAUUGUCAUUUGUGUUGUCCCGAGAGACGGUUAGAAGCAGCGCAAACCCAUUAUAGCAGACGUCCACGGCGUAGAUAAUUAUCACACCAAUAGACGGUUCCACUGCGGGGCACCGGCUAAUACAUUUAAGGGGAGCAGACUAAUGAAAGCCAGCAAAAAGACC